rnacentral:rRNA from 1 species
AAGGUUUCCGUAGGUGAACCUGCGGAAGGAUCAUUGUCGAUGCCUUACAUGCAGUCCAACACGUGAAUAAGUUUGAACACAUGCGGUGGGCUCGAGGUGUUCCACACCUCGGCUUACCUCUGGUUCGGAGGCGGACGACGAAGUGCGUUCUCCUCCGUGCCAAAACUCAAACCCCGGCGCUGAAUGCGUCAAGGAAUUUAAAUUUUGCUCUGAGCGCACCUGCAUGGCACCGGAGACGGUUUUCGUGCGGGCUGUGUUUUGACACAUGAUAUAGAAUGACUCUCGGCAACGGAUAUCUAGGCUCUUGCAUCGAUGAAGAACGUAGCGAAAUGCGAUACUUGGUGUGAAUUGCAGAAUCCCGUGAACCAUCGAGUCUUUGAACGCAAGUUGCGCCCGAUGCCAUUAGGUUGAGGGCACGUCUGCCUGGGUGUCACAUAUCGAAGCCUCCUGCCAAUUUCCCUUUGAUUAUUGUGCAGGGUGGAUGUUGGCCUCCCGUGAGCUCUUCCGUCUCAUGGUUGGUUGAAAAUUGAGACCUUGGUAGGGUGUGUGCCAUGAUAGAUGGUGGUUGUGUGACCCACGAGACCAAUCAUGCGCUACUCUAUUGAUUUUGGCCUCUUUUACCCAUAUGCGUUUCUAAACGCUCGUGAUGAGACCUCAGGUCAGGCGGGGCUACCCGCUGAAUUUAAGCAUAUCAAUAAGCGGAGGAAAAGAAACUAACAAGGAUUCC